AGUGAACGCUGGCGGUAGGCCUAACACAUGCAAGUCGAACGGCAGCACAGUAAGAGCUUGCUCUUACGGGUGGCGAGUGGCGGACGGGUGAGGAAUACAUCGGAAUCUACUUUUUCGUGGGGGAUAACGUAGGAAAACUUACGCUAAUACCGCAUACGACCUACGGGUGAAAGCAGGUGAUCUUCGGACCUUGCGCGAUUGAAUGAGCCGAUGUCGGAUUAGCUAGUUGGCGGGGUAAAGGCCCACCAAGGCGACGAUCCGUAGCUGGUCUGAGAGGAUGAUCAGCCACACUGGAACGGAGACACGCUCCAGACUCCUACGGGGGGCAGCAGUGGGGAAUAUUCGACAAUGGGCGCAAGCCUGAUCCAGCCAUACCGCGUGGGUGAAGAAGGCCUUCGGGUUGUAAAGCCCUUUUGUUGGGAAAGAAAAGCAGCAGGUUAAUACCCCGCUGUUCUGACGGUACCCAAAGAAUAAGCACCGGCUAACUUCGUG
rnacentral:rRNA from 1 species